AAGUGGCAUUUUGGAUUUCUAAAUUCCUCUCAUUAUCUGGGUUGGAAGUUCAGGGGGUUUAGCCUUGAUUAUUGGACCAUAUAUAUGUAGGAGGAUGUUGGUAGUGGUAUCUCAAAUAGGCAGGAAAUUAAUUGGCAGUCUUGCUGGAUAAUGUCAUCAAAAAAAGUUUUUGAGAAGAACAUAGAGAAUUAUAUAACUUUGAAUUCCCUGUUAAUCACAAUUAGGAGGUAAUCAGGGCAAGAAUUUGGCUUGAUGUAAUUUUAAGGGGGGAAAUUCUGUGGAAUUUGAAUGUGAGGGUUGAUGGCAAGGACUUUUAAGGUGAUUUAAAAGAUACAUCUAACCCAAAUAUCCUUCUUUGAAAAUUAAGCUUUAACAUUUUGAUAUGCUGUUGCUUUGAGUUGCAUUAUGGUCUCGAGUUUGGAUGUUGCAAUUGGAGGAGUUCAGUUGAUGUGAUGUUCUGAUGUGUUAGUUUUGUUUGUUAUAACUAGAGAGUGACAUGUGCUACGCACAUGAGUGAAGAUGUAUGGCAUCCUAAGUGAAGCCUCAUGAAUGCCUUUCGGGAGUUUGAAUAUGAUAGUAGAAUGGAUUUGCUGAUCUUGAGCAGUGCUUGUUGGUGAACAUUUUUUAUGGCCUAGUGGAUUUAUUCUAUGGAUUAAUGCAUUAGAAAUUUGAUUGUGUAUAUUGGUGGUCAAGUGAUUAGGGUAUUAUGGGUGACUUGAAGUUAUGGAGUUUUAUGAUAUGGGCAUCAUGUGUAUGCCUUCAUACACAACUACACUUCUAGUGGGUUUCCUUAUUUGCAUAUACUCAUCUAUUCUAGCUUGGUGCCAUUUACAAGUGCAACAAGUAUUUGUACAAUACUAUAAUGUACAGUUUGAUCAAUAUAUUAUUUACAUCAAGUGUAUGAUUAGCUUUAUUUUCAUAUUUAUUAAGCUUUUCCUAGGUCAAUAUCGAAUAGAUAAUUUGUGUGGUCAAUAUGGUGAAUUUUGUUGGCUCCAUAUAUCUUGUUUGACAACAUCUUUUCACAGCUCAGAUGUGAUUUUGCUAUUUGUGAACAGGUAUUUUUGACUUAGUCCAAACUAAUGGAAUCUGCACUAAGAUUAGUCUCUAACCAAAGGCUAUCCUUGUUGAAACCUAACUGAGGUUGACUCGACAUAUAAUUCCUGUGAAAAUCUUAUAAUUUCUGAUUUUACUCUGUUUCAUAUCUAUGAAGCAAAUAUCAGAUAUUGAGAAUGGGUAACUUAAAUUUUGUGGAUUGCUAAGGUCUUAUUCUCUUAUUUGUCUUAUUACAAAGCAUGGUUUGCUUUCGUUGAUCAUUAAAUAGCACCUCAUGAUCAGAGUUCAAUGCCUGUGAUAUGAAGUUGCACCUUGCCACCUCUAAAGCAAGUUGAAGGGUUACCUCCUGUAUUUCAUGUUCUAUCUAUAACUGGAGUACCACAUGGUUCAUAAGUAUAGUGAACUUGGCUGUCUUUCUCUGGUCAUGUCCUCCAUUGGAUCAAUGUUUUGCAUCUUUGCCGUGUCUAAUGUGCACAAUUCAUGGUUUUAUUUUUGCAAAGCUUCAUCUUAGAUGAAUGGCAUACAUAUUUUUUUGCAACCAUAUGACUAAUAGUCAUUCAAGGACAGAACUAGUGGGAUCCUAUAUAUGAGAUUGUUAUAGUUGGGCCCAAGAAAGGUCAGUUCAUGAUGAGACCUGUAUGUAAGGCAGGUUUCGGUCUGUUUAGCUGUAACUUUAGGGAGUACAAAGUCACUGGUGAAUUUGGGAGGGUAUUGGGCUUGAUGGAAACAAGCUGGAAGGAGUUGUUCUGAACGAAAGACCUCAACAAAUCAUAGUUAUCUCCAGCAUGUGGAUCAGACCUCCAGUUUGCUAUCUAUAUCUGCAGUAAACUUCAUAUCUUAACUUCUCCAGAUAGUAGAUGAUAAUUUCGGAUCUUGGAUGUCCCUUUUUUGCUUAGAUCACCUAAAUCCAUUGUAGCUUACACAAUUGUAGCAUUUUUAAAGGAACUCUUGCAUUGUUAUUAGAAACUUCCAUUCUUUGCCCUUUCGUUGCACCUAAUUUAACAUUUAAGAUUUCAAUUAAAAACUUUACCGAUGAUUUCCUUUAAAAUUGCUAAUAUUUGUACUUCUUUUUCUCUAACGUACCUUGGAUGAUGCUUUCUCAUCAUUUCUAUAGUUGGCUCGCAUUUGACUUCUGCAUUUUGGAAUAUUGUUUGACAUUUCCUUUAGAUGUUGCUCAGAGGUGGGAGAGUAGCUAUAAGAUCGUCUGUAGACUUUUUUCUUGUUAAACACUUAAUGGUUUUUAAAUGUGAUGAGUAUUGUCUUGAUCACAUGCAUGUUGCUAUUGUUUGCAUAAUGAUUUUAUUAUGAAGAUAUUGAUAAAUGUUACUGUUGAACUAUUAAAGUUCCUAUCAUUCCGAACAUUGCAAACUUCAUUCAAGGGUUUAAUUGCUUUUUCUUGUCCUUUUCCUUGCAAUUGUCUAAGAUGUAUGUUGGCUGUAGAAGUGAAAUUUUGCAGGUCUAGUGAAUUGUUUGUGAUUUAGAAAUUUAUUUUUAUGAAGUUCUCUCAUAUAUAUGUGCUAUAUGUUUAAUAUAUCCAAUAAAGCUUGAUUUGUUUGAAAUUCUAGUGACUUAUUCAAAUUACCAAGUGAUAUUGGUGGACAAAUGUGGUUGUGAUUGCCUAGGAUUGAAGGCCAAAUUGCAGCGGAGCAUAUUGUUGUUGAAUUUGAUGAGUUAUGGGUUGUGUAUGUUGGAAGAUAAGCCACUAAUGUGAUACAUAAAGAGGAUCUUGGUCUUUAUUAGUAGUUGUACUUCAUAUGGAGGCAUGAAAUGGGGGAGGGCGAGAGGGACCAAUGAUGUUAAGCCAUCAAGAUCAAAACUAACUAAUGCUCCAGAUGCUGAUGAAGUGCUCAUACAUCUAUAAAUUGCUAAAAUUCUGUUCAUUGUUGUAUAUUUAAGAGGUCUUUACUGACUGAGUAAAAAGUGAAGGGAAAACUAGAACAUUUGUGCUUCAAAGUAAUAAGGCAGGUCAAAAUUCAUGAGCAGGAGUCUUAGUUGAAGACUGUUAGUAUGCAUUAAGAGUCAAAAGUAUUACUCUAUAGCAAGCUAGGUCUACGUUGAAUUUAAAAUUAGGAGAAAGCCAGGGAAAGGUUCUCUAAGUAAGAUUCUUAAUGGAUCAAUCAUAAGAUUCUUAGUCUUAUGACCACCUUACUGAUUAACCAUCAAGACAAUAAGAAAUUAUAAUUCUGCCGCCUUUUCCAUCUAUAAAAACAUUGAUUAUAGAAACCAAAUUUUCAUUCCAACUUUAUUUUGUUUCUUUAAGCCUCCAGGAUGAGUGGCUUCAAUUUUGUGGUGAAAGCCUAUUUUAGGCUAUUUUAAGGGUUUUGGUGACUUUCAACUAUGGAUAACCUUGUUAAUAGUUUUUGAGAGUAGAUUUGGUGCUUUGAGGAUUAUGUUUAAUGAAGCUUUAAGCUUUAUGGUAGAUUUUCCACUAGGUUUCUUUUACUUGAGGAGUCCCAUAUGUUUUUCUUUCUUUGGUUCUUGUACAUUCUUUUCUUCUUCUUCUAUUUGUUUUUUCAACCUUUUCUCAUUUGGCUUCAAGCCAGAGCUAUAGUUACUUCGUGGAUUGUUGGAGAUAUAUUUCAAGGAGAGUUUUUGGUGGAAGCAGAGAUUGUAAAUUUGGUAUGCAUGUUUUUUUCCAAAAAUAAAAAGUGCUUUUGUUUUCUUUUUUUGCAUUUUGGAUUGUCACCAUCUAGAAACUUGUUGCUUUUAUGCCUUGUUGCGCCCGCUUUCAUUCUGAUCUUGGUCUAUGCUUUCUAAGGGGUUCAAUGGGAACUUGUAAUUUUGGGUCCUCUUUUAUUUUUUAGAAUGUGGUAGUCAAGCUAUUAUGUGGAUUUUUUUUUUUAAAUCCAUGUAUGGGCAGAAAUUGCUGCUGUACUUGUAUGGUUGUCACAUAUUUGAUUGUGUUCGUGGAUUAUAUAUAAUGGUGUGUGCAAGAUGAUUUACCAUAUCACUUGUCUAUAAGAACUGGUGCAAUAUGUUGUUUUGUGCCGAUGGGACUUGGCCCCAAGGGCACACUAUUUUACUGUGAUUGGUAGAAACUCCAAUCUAACAGUAGUUGAAUUACUAUAUGGAGCUCAAGGCUUUCGAUUUUUCCCUUCGAUUCAUUAUCUUUGUGGCUAAUUCCUUUAUAUUUUUUAUGGCAUGUUUUUAUAAGCUUGGUGACAUAAUUCUCUCGAUUUUGGAGUUUGGAUGUAAGGCUUGUUGUGCCUACUUGUGGGCCUCUGCUGACAUUUGUUGCACAUGAUGCUGUUGUCUCACUUGAUUCUUUUCCCCUUUUAAUCCCCCUUUGUACAUUCUGCUAUUUAUUUAUAUCCAUGAAUAUGUUAUUCUUGAUAAAUCUUUAAGCUUUGAUUUUUAAGUUAGGUAUAUUUUGAAGAACAAAAGAAUCUGUUGGGAAAGAAUCUGAAGAAAGUCUGCUUUCUACAGUCUCCAUCUUUUGUCUCGACAGUAAACAAGACACUAGAACUAAAAUAUUUUCUUCCACGACAAAUUUAAUGUGUUACUUUCUUAUUGUCCUAGGAUUCAUUUGUUUACAUUUAAAUGUUGACCUAAAGUUGAGAUAUAUGGGUUCGUUUUAUGAUUAGGGAGCAUUCAGAUGUACUGCAAAAACAUGAUGUGAGUGCAUUAAAGGAUUGAAGUGCCAACAGUGCCUGUUGGCAUGAACCUGCUCGUAUGGUGAGAGUACUGAACCGGCAUGUGGCAAGGCAUUGUCCCUGUCUGUAUGUGCAUGCCAAUGCCAUUCCAAGCACCACAUGACACAACAUGUCUUAUACCAGUUUAGCAACGGUACAGCACUGGCAUGCAACAAUUAAACCUUGAUUGCAUGUUUCUUGAAAUUACUAGUUGUGUGCUAUACAAGUGGGUGUACCGAAAGCUCAUAAAAUGACUAAAAUUUUUGAAUUUAAAUAUUCAACUUUGAAUAGAACUUUUCAAAUUCUUGUUCAUUUGUUUCACUUUACACUCUUUUAACUUUCUUUUUAAGUGCAUUAACUUACUGAAAGAUCAACAACUUACUAAAAGAAAAUAUUAUCUCUUAGUUUAGAAAAUUUGAAUUAAGGUAAAAUCACCAACCUGUGAUGUUGAAUGAGAAUACUUCUAAGUGCAGCAGUCUUAGUGAUAUAGCAUUUUGGUUUCUGACAAGAUUUUGUAAAUAAAAUGCUAUGGGUCUUUUUAAUUGUGGCCAAGCAUAUCCUUGACUGGUAAUGCACCCACCAGUUUUGGUCAAGCAUAACCUUGACUAUUAGUGAACCCACCAACCAAUGCCACUUGAAUUUUUUAUGGUACUUUUUAUGUAAGGAAUAUUUUUUACCAUAUUUAGAAAUGAUUGCAAUGGCAACUUAAAAACACCAUAACUUUAGAUUCAAGCAUCCAUUUUAGCUUUAUAAUUGCAUCAUUUUGGUGCGCCUUGAUGAGUUACAUCUUUUGAAAGCAUUCAAAUUAUCAAAGUGAUUUAUACAAACCAAGGCUUAUAUUUGCACAUGGACGUAGUUGUAUCUUUUUUCGUUUUCUUUUUUUUUCAUGUGUAUUUGAAGGAUUAGGAUUAAUUUUUAUUAAAUUAAUUACUUGGAUGAAGUUUUUUUUUUGGCUCAAGUUAUAAUGCAUUUUGUUCAUAGUGGAAUGAAUUUCCAAGAAAAUUGAGGAGGACUGGAGAAAACUUAAUUUGUAAUUUCUGUUUGUCUCUUGUGCUUGUUGGAGUCUAUGCGUUGGGAGAUGGCUUUCCUUGGCUUGAGGAUUUGCAACUAUGAUUAUGGAUCUGGUGAACUCUAUAUUUUUGAUUAUCUUUUCUUGAAGUCUCAUUAAACUAAAAUAUCUAUCCUAGUUUUGAUUUUAUCCAUCAAACUGGUAUUAGAGCAAAUGUUCUUGCUGAGCACAAGUCUGAGCUCUCUCUUUAGUAUGUGGACGAGUAUUAGUUCUGCAAGUUGUCUUAAGCAAGGAUGCUUCACCUCAAGAUCUUAAAUACUGCAGGACUGUGCCUUCCUAGUUUUUUCAUGGAAUGCGAUGUGCUGUGUACUCACAUUGAGGACAGUUGGCAUCUCGCCCUGUCCCAGUCUAUUUCACAACUCAUCCUGUCCCUACACUCGACGUUUUCCUGUCUCAAUUCUUGGGAUGGUUGGAUGCCCCACUAUUCCACCAGUAUUUAGAACCUUGUGUAAACUUGACUGGAGAAGACAUGAUCAGAUUGUGUGAUGAGAAGGUUCUGAUCGUAAGGAUGGGUAAGUUGCUUUAGGCACUAGUGGAUGACUCGACAAUGAUGGAGACAGACUGCUCAAUAUAGGAAAUUCUACUCUUACCACCAAUUGAAGAUCCCUUUUGGUCCAUUUGUUACGUAUGCUUAGCAGUCAAAUUCUCUUUUGGUCCAUCGAUUUGAAGUAGCGAUGGUACCUUAUUAUGCAAUCAGCUUUUGCAUUCUAGAAGCCCCCUAAUACGGUUGAUAUAGAGCUUUAAAAUGCCAGAACAUUGUUAGGAGUUUUGCUUCCCUCUAAUAUCAACUUCAAUGCAAAUAUUGAAUCUCAUCUCAGUGAACAUUGGCAGGAAUCUAUAGUUCCAGCUAUCCUCUAAUGUGAAUCUUUCAUACUACUUUAUGCAAUUCAAUUUUGAUGGAUACUUAGCUUGACUAGGUAUGAUUUAACAUGUAGAUAGAGAUAAUAGGGAAAGAAGGAGAGGGAGGACAUGAAUUUACUUUUAAAAUGUUUUACCAUAAAAAAGUAAUGACUUAUAAAUUAUAACCUUUCCUGCUAGGCCAUGCUUAUUCAUGGAGCGCUUUAAAGAGUUAAUCUGGAAUUUCAAGUAAUUCUCUUUGUUAUUAAAAUUUAAACUAGGUGUAAUGCUUUUUAAUUUGUAAAUAUUCAAUUUUAUACUAAAUGGACCCUAGAUUAUGUGAUUCUUAAUCAGCCUAAAUGAGAAAAAAAUGCAUUGUAGAUAAUAAGAUUGUGCUUCUGGUAUACCAGAUUCAUAUUGACAUGAAACAAGUUGAAAUUGCAUUGUGAUCAGAAGCUUACUUAUGUGAUGCUCUCUAAAGAGUUUUCUUUAGGUUUAUAUUCCUGAGCCUAGUUAUUUUAUAAUUUGAAUUUUUUAUUCGUGUUUUGAUGGGAUCUUGACAGUAAACACGUUGUGAUGUUUUUUCUAUGAUUUUGGCAUGUUCGACAUCUAUUGCUUCCAUUGCAUGAAAUUUGCACGCUUGUUGGGCAAUGACUCUUGUGCUCUUUAUGAUCAUUUUAGAGUCUAAGAAUUCCCUUGGAGCUUUUUCACAUUAUGUUUAUUGUUUUGUUAUUUCAAGCUUUGGUGAUUGGAGAAGCCUCACCACUACUUGGAUUCAUAUGAAGUAUAAGAUUUUUUUAAAAGAUGGAAGUAUGAGAUCUUACCCUCUUAUUUAGCCAGUGAAUUAUCCAUCUGAUAUGAAGGCUAUCUUGAUUGGCAUCCGGGGAGAACCUUAAGCCAAAGCUGGAGGCAAACAUUUCUUUUGGUACUUACAGACAUCUUAUCGUGCUUCACAUUGACCUUUGAAAUAUAAUCAGCCAUCUAAUGUCACUGCAGAUCCAUCCAAUUAAAAUUUUAAUGAUUUUCCAUUCUGCUUGACAUGGCCUUUUUGUAGAAUCUCAUGCUAUAUUAGGUGCGGGAAAUGCACAUAGAGUUUCAGAAUCUAAUAUCGGACAAUCUUUUCAACAGUAUCAGAUUUGAUUCCUACAGAAAAUAAAUGGAAUCUCUGUAUACAAUGUGUGAAGAGCCUACAGUUUGGUAAUUGCAAAUGAUAGACAGAAGAAAAGAGGAGGAGAUUGGGGGGGGGGGGGCAAUGUUUAUUGCAAUGCACAAAAUAACUACCAAAUAAUAAUACAGAUAGGAUGAUCCCUGAGCUCAAAGCAUGGUUUUGGAUAUACAACUUGCUGAAAGAUGCACAAAUCCGAAUGGGUUCUGGGUAUUAAUUUGAAGUAAAAUGGUGGUGUUGAUUUUUAAAUUGAAAUGUAAUAUUGAACUACCCUAGGGACAUUGCCACAUUACAUUUGUUGUAGUUUAUUAAAAUGAGUUCCAAAUGAAUCCCUUGAAAUAUGCUCCUGGUGUACCAUAUUUACAUCAAUGAUAUCACACAAGUAAAAUUUGCUGGGACUAGAUAUCCAGUUAAGAAAUAAUUUUUGAAGUCCACAAUUUUGACCUUUACUUUUUCCAUUUUUGGGGGUUUUAUUUUAUGAAUGUCAAUGCUUGGAUGCUUUAAUCAAGGUCUCUGCCACCAUUCCUUACAUUGGAAAUUUUGUUGAAUUUUCUAGCUUUUUUAUGGGCAUAAUAUGAAUUUGAUUCAAAAUUGAGUUCUGAUAUUCACAUGGCAGGCAAACUCUUGUUUAACACACUAAAAUUUUUUUGAUGGUGAUAUUUCUUUUAGGCUCUCAACUCUUUAGAGAAGUCAAAAGCCAAAGGAGCAAGAAGUGGAGAUCUCGGUGGUCCUUCCAAGGUUGGGCAGCAGUCAUCUCAACCUGUCAAUCUGACCCUCCGUGCACCUGCUAGAAUAGAUACUUCAAAGGUAUCUCAGGUGGGGAAUUUCCAAGUCCUCAACCGUGAGAGAAAUGGCAUCUCUCCUACUGCCAAAGAUAGCCCAAGUCUAAUGAAUGCCAGCAGAGUUGCGACCCCACACGGCGGUUUUCAGACAGCUGCAAUUCACCCACCAAAGAGCGCUGUUAACCCAAAGCUGAAGCCAGACAGCAAGGCAGGUGCUCCAUCUUCUACUCAGAGUUCCUUUGGGGAAAGAAGGCCUAUUUCUCAGGCUCAGAAUCGUAAUGAUUUCUUCAAUUUCAUUCGGAAGAAAUCACCUACGAGCCAUUCUGCUGAUCUUACUGAGCCAAGCUGUGCUGCAUCCACAUCCGGCUCGGCGAAGUUGGAUGAGCAGAUAACAGGGGCCUCCACUUCUGUUAAUCAAGAGAAGGACAGUUCUGCAUCUUGUUCUGAUUUGGUGCGCUGCCCAGUGGAAGAUGGUAAUGGUGCGACUGAGGAUGGUACUGAUAUCUGUGAAGUGUCCAGCAGGUCUGUUCCUGGCAAUGAAGAGGAGAGUUCAUCUUCAGACCCUGUUGUCCCAGAUUCUGGUCCUGGCAAUGCAGGAAAGAGCUCUUCAGGGCCUGUUCUUGCCCCGGCGUCUGCUCCAAACAGCGUUGAUGAAACUUCAUCUUCAGACCCUGUUGUCGUACCCAGCGAGGAAGAAUUAGACUUACUGCGACGACUUGGAUGGGAUGAAAAUGCAGAGGGAGAUGCUCUGACACCUGAGGAGAUUGAUGAUUUUGUUCGUCGGGUAACUAACUGAUCCUAUCUGAAAAGGAUUGUAAUGUUGUUAAUGGUGCUUGAUAGGGAUUUAUAUUAAUUUGAGGAACCCUAAUAAUAAUUAUAUAUAUUUUCUAACCGUUUGCAGUAUGAGGGUCGGAGGACAUCUUUGAGGGUGGGCCAACGGCCAUUGAGGAUGGUGGUUCCAGAUUCAGGUCAGAGUGAUGUAGCUGGCAAUCGUUUGGAUUGAAAUCAUCUGAGUAGGGGAAGCGUAAUUUUGCUGAACAACCACUGCUUCCAUGGCUAAGAAGGCUUCUAGUUUUUGCGGUCAAAGGGAUUUUUGGAUCGGCUCCCAGAGGAUUUGAGAUGCAAAGAAAAUGGAGUGGCAUGGAAAUCUGCGAGGUUGAAAGAAGAGGAAGUAGUUUUUUCCUGUCUUGCUUCCAAAAAGAAACGUGAUGUGAAAUGCAAAAUAAGAUGCAUGCUUCGGUCCACAAACUCAUGCUGUCCUACGGAACUUCAGGGUGCUUUCUCAUAGAAGCCUCUUCCCUUUUGAUUUUGUUGGAUUGGUUGAGGGUUAACAGGAAAGGUAGAUAGGGGUCCUAGGGUACAAGAAAAUUGCACAGCUUGGAAACAUCAGGGCUUUUUACCCUUUUGCCUUUUGGUUUAUUUUCUUUUUAACUUUUUGGCAAUAUUCAAAGAAAGAUUAUGGUGCUUUUAGUGAUAAGAGAGGAAAAGUAGCCAGUUUCAUCAACCUGAAUCCGAUUUUGCAUGAAUGAAUGCAGUACUUAUUGUAUGGGGAUGCACCCAAAUGAACCUCAUCAAUAGAAAUGGUGAGAGGUUGAUUUGCUUUCUUUAUUAUAUAUAUAUAUAUAUAUAUUAGUGAACGCAAGGGCUAAGAGCUAUGUGAUAUCCAGGCGUCAGGCCUUGCUCCAGCAUAGUGAAGGGGUCGAUUAUCAAGAAUGGGUAUUUGAUGCGCAGGCCGUUUCUGCUUCAGCACUUUCCUGGUUUUAUGCGACUAUUGUGGACAGAUAUUGCUUUGAACCCUUGGAUGUGGUUAGAGGAAUGCGUUGACAAAGAUGCAAGCAAUGUGAUAUGUGGAAUUUUAGCUUGUACAAACCAUUGAAAAUAUUAUAUAACAUUUUUGAAACUGAAUAUUUGAGGGCUACAUUUAUUGAUACUCUCAACUUGCAAGCACAGUUCAUUAGCAGGUGCAUUUGAUGGGUGGCUGUGAUUGCAACAUAUUUGAUGAAUACUUCUUUACUUUAGCUCCUAUACUUUUGCCAGGUCAUCGAGUUGAGUUCAUAGAGUGAAUUUACAGAAAAAGGAUCAUAUUUGAGGAAAUGGCACUAACAAGCUCCACAGCAGCCUUCAACAAAUCUGAAGGCCUUAGAGCGGUGGGAGUUCAAUUUGCAUUUUUUUUCUGUUCUAAUUAAUCUCUUUCCCCACCCUCCGCCCUCUCUUUUUUGGGUAUAGACAAAAUUAUCUGGCCGAGACUUAAGAGAGCAGCAAGAAAGCUUGAUGUGAUUUUUUCUAAGUAAUAUCUUUUAGAAACAUUACCAUUACUAUGUCGUAUGGUCACGGUUAGAAUUCACUAAUAAGUUCUACUGUGAGCUACAGUGUCUUUGAACAUAAUACUCAAUUGUUGAGUUCUUGAGCUUCAUCACCUAAAAGCUUUGAUCCAUCCUGCUGAAUUAGGCUCUUUUGGCAGAGUUUUUGAAGGACCAAAAAGCACACUUUCACCCUCCAAAAGUUGGUAAAAAAAUCGAAAAGCUGUAUUACCUUUUGUCAGAAAACUAAAACAACAUUUUGGAUUUUGGAGCUUCUCCAAAAAAGCAUUUUCAUGCCUUGUCGAAAAGCUAUUUUGAGUUAUAAAAUUUUUCAUUUUUAGACCACAAUACCUGCAAUAAAAUAUAAUAAUUACAUAAAAUAAUAGUAUUAAUAUAUAAUAAUAAUAAUAUUUUAUACCUUUAUUAUUGUAUUAUAUUAUAAAUAUAAUAUUAUAUUACAUUAUAUCCUAAUAUAUUGAUAUAUUAUGUUAUAUUAUUAUGCUAUAUUAUACAAUAUUAUAUUACUAUAUUAUAAUAAUAUUAUAGUAUAGUAAUAUUAUACUAUAUUAUAUAUUUAUGUAUUAAUAUAUAUUUUAUUUUAUUAUGCUAUGUUGUAAAAUAUUAUGCAGUGUCCUUUAUAACCAUUUUGUCAUACCAAAAAUACUUUCUCAGUCAUAUUAAAGUCUCACGGCACUUUACAAAUAUAGCUACCAAAUAACAAAUAAAAGCUACUUUCAAAAGCUCUAUUGCCAAUAACUCUGCCGAAUAAAGCCUUAAUAUAAUUGACUUGUGAAAUCACACCUCUCCAAUUUGACCACGUCUGAGUUUAAGACUUCACUCGAUGAAAAAAUGGGUCAGAUUCUAAUCCCAAGUAUUUAGACAUCGGUAUUUUACAUCUAACAUCUCUCUCUCUGGUUUACAUUCAUGCUGCGUCAGCAUUUAUUGAAAAAUUUAUGCGUUGCCUUAAUUUGAAUCAGGUCUGGUAAUCUAUAUCUCAUCCAUGUCUUGGUUCUUAAUGACCGGACUGUGCCCUUUUUGGUUUUUUUGAUGCUUCCAGAUUAGAUCCUGACUGCCAAACACUAUCUUUUAUCUGCGGGUCCACCAUCACUUUGUCUCUUCUUUCUAAACAGCCAAGCACUACCAUCUUCUCGGCACAAGAAUACUUUGGGAUUUUACCAAGCAAACAUAGCCUUGAAGAUGAUACUUAAAUAAAUCUACAUAUUUACAUAUAUUCAUGCACUCAUCUCACCCAGAUUUGGGUGCAUAUCCAGUUCUCUUUUCCGCACCCAAAUACAUGACCGACUUUGCAAGGAUCUGAACCAAAACAACAUCGGAACUAUCCUAAAAUAAAAAAAAGGAAAAAAUCAUACUACUGCUGAAACUCUAAAACACAAUGAAAACCGAAAAUUUUAUUCCUUGCUUUUCAAGAAUCUGCUUGCAACGCCCAUUUCUGGAAAAGCCUACAAACAUCUGUUUUAUUCUUCAAAUGGUCAUCUGAAAAGCAAAAUUUUAAUAGCCUGAAGAAGGCAAAAUCAUCGGGGGACGCCAGAAUGAAAAGGGCAGUGCAAUGCUUCACCUAGUCAUACCAAAGUGCCAGCUCUCAUUUUUAGUUAAUUCCAUCAAUCAUUACCAUGUGCGGAGGAACUGGAUCUCGAAGAAAAUGUCAGCAGUUUCACCACAAACGGAUGCUCUAAUAGUUGAGCAGCAGAAGGCCGUUCAUCUGGGUUAACCUUCACACAUUGACUGAUAAAAUCACGGGCAUCUCUUGACAAGUAGUUGGGGAUGGGAGGUUGUUGGCCAUGGCCAAUUCUAAAGAGAGCUUGAGUCUGCAAAUUAGAGAGAAUGAACAAUUAGUAAGAAUAUCUUGGGGCAUUGAGAUAGCUACCAACUCCUUCCAACAAUUAUAAAACCGUUGUUUACAGCUUGCAGCAUGAAACAGAAGUGAAAAUAUCUUCAGACUUUCAAAUUUUGACUUAAGAGGAAAAGGCAAGCAUAGAAGUUGCACGAUAGGCAUGGAAAACUAAUAAGAUGGAGACAUCUAAAGAAGCUGCAAUAUCUACUCCUACUGUGUUAACUGCUAGAAGCACUUUCAACAAGGCUCAAAAGUUAUUAUGAUGUUCUGCUGUUUGCUUUUAGGAGAUCGUUUUGCUCUUCCGUAUCUUUAUAAGAUGGGUAAGAUAUUUUCAUCAAUGAGAAUGGGAUUCAACAUCUCAAACUCCCGUAUUUUAUAAAACAGCACGAAAUUUUCAUCAAUGAGAAUUAGAUUUAUCUUCUGAAACUGAUGUAUAUUUCUGGUAUAGGAGAUGGCCAUUUGGCCGAUCAAGGUCUGUCCAGCUCGAUAAACAUAACCAUCGUCAAGGGGUCCGACCAGCGCAAUCACGAAGAAAAUUCUACAUUUAGACUCAACCUACUUGCUAUACGUCACAAAUAAGGCCUGAUGACAUUAUUUGACCAACCAGCCAGCUUGAACAGGUUACACCUCCAAUCCUCUUAGGUUUGACCCAACAAGUUUGUCGAGAUACAGGUACAGGGGCACACCAGACAGAUAUCUGACCAAGUUGUUUUAUAUGUCAAUCCCCAUAUUUUUCAAUCACUUUAUGAGUAAUGAUCUGUAAAGAUAUUACCUUAAUUACAAACUUUAAAUAAUAUACAAGCUAUUAGACAAACUUGCCGCUAGAGCUACUUUUAGCUUCCUUCGUGGGAUACAGUUUCAUAAAGAGUUGUAUAUGAUUCAAACAAAGUAUUUUAUAAUAUCUGGGUCACUCUGAAUAGACUCAUCCUCUCCAAAAUUAUAUCAACGAUAAAUUAUUCUGAAUAAAAGAUAUGACAAUAAGCAUAUUGUUACUUGAACUACUAUCUAGAUUUUCCUAAUUGCAUUAUAUAGUACUGACAUAAAUGUGGAACAAGUUUGAAGAAAUCUUUAGCUUAAAAGUUUAAACAUGGAACAAUUUUGCGCAAGAGAUGAAAAAUACACAAACAGCUUGUUACUUCAAAACUGCCAUAAGUUAGUCAUUAAUGAUAACACGGAUAAUGAAUUUUCAAGGGACCUCACAACCUACAUGUAUCAGAGAGUGUAUAUGAGCAACUUUAUCUGAAAGCAUGAGUGCUAAGAUCAAAAUACUAAAAUAAAGUUUGCUCUAAUGCUUAAUUUUAUAGUAAGAUAAGAAUCAGUGAAUAAGACAAUUUAUAUUGGAAACAAAGGGCUUAUAUUGAGAGAAUUUUUUAAGGAUUCCUCAAAUUUGAGAGAUGAUCCCGUAUGUCAAAUCUAAAAUAUAUAAGAAAGCUAGUAAAAGAGCUCAUCCAGCUUAGCCAACAAACUCUUAUUUCCAGAAAAAGUUCAGCACGCAACAGAGGUAAUCCAACGGAAUGUGGAAUGAGAUCCAAUGGUUCCUGCAAGUUGUCAUUUCUAGGUGCAAUGCAUGGGGACUGUUGUAUCUUUAGUGGUGACCGUCCCCGUCAUAAGGAGAUUGAUCAGCUCAAGAUGUGAACCAAAGAAAUCCACCUAUUUACGAACUCGCGUUUGGCGCGGGCAGGUUAAGAUCUACCAUAAUGGGUCUGGAGUAUUUCACCUAGCCAGCCUUCAUCCACAUAACCAUCUUUUACAACAUUAUUUAUUCCUUUAUCUUAAAUGAAACUUUGAGUCCUUGCUACCUUCAACUGGCCAUUUCCCCAUCUCCCAAUCCAGAACUACUCCUUAUCAUAAUUGGCAGUAUAUAGCAUGAAUUUGAACCUGCGAGCCAUAAUAUAAAACUUUUUAAACUUGCUUACCUCUUUCUUCCUUUAUCUGCGUUCUUGAUUCAUUCUCCUCCAUACGCUAAUCCUGUCAAUGUGCCACAUCUCCUAUGCCCUUCUCCUCAUCUUAUCUCAUCCUCCAGGAUUUAUUACCCAAACCCAUUGCUAACCUAGGUGUUCAGAAUUUGAAGCAAGUUCAACUGCUGGAGCUACUGAAUUUAAUCCUUACAUUCCUUUUUUCAAUUUUAUAACAUACCAUUUCUUUAUAUCAACUUUAUCCUGUUAAUAUAUUGGAUACUUACAAGAUCACUCUUUUUUUACUUAAAAAAAUUACAUUUCUUGAACUAUUCAAGUCAUCUAGAUGCAGCUGAUUAUUUAGUGAAAUUCUAUUCUCUGUGUUUGCUAUUCCGCAGCUGGCUGUUCCAAAAGUAUAGAUAGCUUUCAGCUUUCAAGGAAUCCAGAUUUAAGGUAUAGAGUAAAUAAGUUUGCGGUUAUGGCACGUGAACUUUUUUUUGGGUACAUCACGGGAACUUUCAGAGUAAAAGAAAUCAAGCAGGAAUAUUGUUUGUUAUUUCGUUACUGAACUGGCAGAGGAGUCCUUUGAAGAUGAAAAGGAAUAGUAGCUAACUGUUUCAACCAAACAGAUUACUCACCCACUCCAGAUUUGGAUAAGGAAGUUGCCGUGUUAACAUAUAUCGGCUGCAGGCCCAUAUGUUUUUCUAGGAUUAACAACCUGAAAAAUGAGAACUCCCCAUUUAAUAGGAACUUGCAGACCCAUGCACAAAUUUAUGAAAUGGCAUCUUUAAAAAUUACAUGCAGUACUAUUCUGAACACAGUAGAUGAUGAAAAAAAUAACAUCAUUCUCCAUUCUGUCACAAAAGAUAGACGCUCCAUCCAAAACCUAAUCAAGUCCAACAGGAAAAAAUAGUCUGCAAAAGAGUUGUAGGAGAUUAUCUGAGUUGGAUUUGGAUCAAGAUAUAUCUGAACCCAAUAAUGUGACGAAUGACAUAGGAUGAUAUAUGUACAUACAUUCACAUAUAAUUGUUUAUGUGCAUGUGUUUUCUUUUUCCGAGGAAUUUUAAUUGAAAUUUAGAUGAGAACCAAAUCUGUUCAUCAUCUCCAGGUCAGUAUUUGGUUAGGAAUCACCACCAGCAAAUGCUUGCAUCUGGACUCAAAUCAAAUAUAAUGUCUGAUAUAGUGCCAUCAUAGAACACAUAGCACACAUUCAGUGGGAGUGAGAAAGUAACAAGUGCAUUGUGAAGAACAGAAAGGCUAUGUUGUCUUCCUUUGGAUAGCAAUCAUAUCAUCUAAGCUUGACUUUUAAACCUUCUUGAUUCUAUAUAUUCGCAAGUUAUUAAAGAACAAUGAACAAGUAUAAUACAUGAUACCCCUAAAGGUAUCCUUCACUUUUCGAACAAUUUGCCAGAUAAUGUCCUGCAUAUAGUAAUCAGCACUAAUAAGUAGCAAUUAUUCACGAUAGAGGGUAAUGCAUCUAUACAAAGACCAAUGCGUUAAUUUGAGGCUCACUCUUUUGCAACUAUCAGUCCUCCUUCUAGUUUGCAGCAACAUACACAUCAGACCAAAGAUAUCCACAAAGAUCAUUUUACCUCAAGAUCUCCCUAGCAGCUAGUCCAAUUACAAUGCGAAGAAAACUAGGACAAGCUACUAAUCAGGUUGGUUGGUCAAUAUAAGACAAAUUUCAAGAUUUAUUUCAACUUACAAAAGAUUUGAUCAAACAAAAAAAAAUUCAUGGAGUGCAUCUAAGCCAUGAUUUCUGCAUAAUAUGCAGAGAUAACAUAUAACAGCCACCUACCAUUACCAUUACCAUGCAAAGAAAGGAUGUGAAUCACCACAAAUUGAAGUGACCCUGUAUGCAUAGCUGUGUUAUUUAGUUAGUAUAGACUUAUAUACAAUUGCAGCCACCAUACAUGUGAGGAUCCAUGGGGGCAUGUCCUUAGUCGCAUAUUGGGGUCCCAUAUUGGUUGUGCGCUGGAAGAUCUUGGAUCCUUAAGUAGGGUAAAGAAUUUCAAAAUAUAAAACUUUUGGCUAGUCCUUUUGGGUGAGGUUCUAGAACGUUAUAAAUGGCAUCAAAGCUAAUAUGAUCAAUGGCACUUGUGGACCAUGGAACACUACAGCUGUGGAUUACGGUGUUUGUGAUUUUGAUAGACCCUUUCCUUGGUGAGAAUGCUAGGACUUAAAUGGGUGGAGUGUGAGAGGACCUAUGCAAGCAUGAGCAAGGACCUCAAAAUAUUAACUAGGAAGAUUUUAGGUACUUAAACAUGGGCAAGGACCUCAAAAUAUAACUUUUGGCAAGUCUUUUUCUGUGAGAUCCUAGGAUAUUGCAAUUUUUUCAUCUUAUUAUCACUAUCUCAAACACAAAGUUACAAUAUUAGAAAUGAAAGAUAUCAAUUCAAGACUUGAUAAGUGGACUUUGUGAUGAACUCGAAUGAAAAUGAAAUAGAAGUAUUUCAUCUAUCAGACUUAAGUAAAAUUUAAUACUUGAGCAAGCUGUGAAGAUAUUCUUUUUAUGCACAAACUUGUAACAACGCUUUCAAUAUAAGAUAUCUUAGAAUUGUUUUAACCGGGUAUUACUUAAAUAAAUUCAGUCAUUAAAUUUUAUUACCUUGUUUAACAUAAUCAGUUUGCCAGUUUCUUAUUCUAACUUUGUGGAAUUGAGCCUAGAUCAUUAUUAUUAUAUUUUUCUAUUCUUCUUUUGCCUAUAACAUAUGCAAUGAUAUAUAUAUAUACAUAAAAUAGGCAGUGAUAAAGUUUCUCAUUUCAAUUGCUUUGCAUCGGUCACAANN
rnacentral:lncRNA from 1 species